AUGGUCAGGAUGCUCAGGUUGUCCCACCAGAUGCCAAGCAAAUUUCAUAUGAGGCCCCCCAGAACUUGCAUCCCACUGCUUUCAAGUGGACGUGGGCUUCUAAGCACGGAGAUUUUUGAAGUGGGAACUCUGGCAACUCUUCCCUUGGAUGUUUUACUUCCCUUUAUGUUUUACUGCUCUGAUGUUUCUUCAGGCCUUGCCAAGACUAAGCUGCUUCUACAAGUUUGUAACCAUAUUGAAAAUAUGAAACCGUUCACGCUCGAUGCAUUUGGAGUGGUCUUGCAAAGACACAAAGUUAACAAUAACAAGAUACACAGGGUUAUUGAUCAUAAGGUAACCUAUCCCAUCACAGUUAAAAUGUAUAGACCCAUGCCCAAGGCCCCCAAACCAGCUCGAGGUGAUGCUGAACCGAAGCCUGCCUCCCGUACUUCUCACAAUAUCCUACUUCUGAAGCACGUUGUCUUGCAGCCUCAUCGAGGCGGGAGACCUAAUUCGUCAUUACAAAGAAGCCUUCCAUCUUUUCAAGUAAAAGCAUCGCACUUAUCGCAGGGCCAGGAAGCUGAAGGCUGGCAGCGCUGAAGCGACGAUACCCUUCAGCCAAAAAAAGCAUUGUUCAGUGGCUAAUGUUAUAUGUUACGUGGCUAACACCGGACUGGGUGUGCUCUGAAUCGCACGAAGCGUAUGAACGCAUCUAAGCGACACGAGGCUGUGGUGGUUACAUUAAAUAUAAACGUGUUAAAUGUAAACGUGUUAAAUGUAAAUACGUUAAGUAUGUUAAGUAGGAAUGUGUUAAAUAUAAAUACGUUAAACAUGAAUUCAGUGCCCAUUUUGCCGGGGGAGGCAUAUCGGGGCUGUACGAAGCGAAAAAAACCCUCACUUUUAACAAAACCCCUCAGCUCCCCCCCCACCCCCGGCCGCCAUUUCAAAGCCGCCCCC
rnacentral:lncRNA from 1 species